rnacentral:rRNA from 1 species
UCGCCUGUUUUAUCAAAAACAUAGCCUUUAGCAACACAAGUAUUAAAGGUCCCGCCUGCCCAGUGAAAUUUAUUUUUAACGGCCGCGGUAUUCUAACCGUGCAAAGGUAGCGUAAUCACUUGUCUUCUAAAUAAAGACUAGUAUGAACGGCUAAAUGAGGGUAAGACUGUCUCUUAUAAUUAAUCAGUGAAACUGACCUUCCAGUACAAACGCUGGAAUAAGCACAUAAGACGAGAAGACCCCGUGGAGCUUAAAACUAAUCACUAACACAUUAUUACCCUAGUGCACUGUUUUCAGUUGGGGCGACUUCGGAAUAAAACAAAACUUCCGAGCACAGAACCACCACUUCCUACUAAGGCCAACAAGCCCAAGUACAACCUGACCCGGCUCCAAUGCCGAUCAACGAACCAAGUUACCCCGGGGAUAACAGCGCUAUCUUCUUCAAGAGUCCCUAUCAACAAGAAGGUUUACGACCUCGAUGUUGGAUCAGGACACCCAAAUGGUGCAGCCGCUAUUAAAGGUUCGUUUGUUCAACGAUUAACAGUCCUACGUGAUCUGAGUUC